CUUGAACUUAUCCCUUAAAAGCAUGAGGUCUGAGGAUAAUAAGUGGGGCUAUUUGGGCAGAAUCAAAUGAAGGUAAGUCAUGCCUAAAAGAGUUGUUCAGCAACCCUAAGCCUAUUCUUGCUUUAUUUUCACCAGAGUAAAAUAAAGAAACAAACACCAAGUUUGUAUUACUGCUUUUCAGAUUAUUUAUUCACUCCAAAGCUUCUUAAAAUACCUAUGCAGCAGAAUAUCUUCCCUUUUCUGACCCACACAUAUAUCUAUUUUUAUAUGGCUUGGCCAUUCCAAAGUUGAGGGAUAGGGAUGGAUGCGGGUAUCAGACUGAAUAUCGUCUCCACUUAUUAGAUAAAUCUUUGUGGAAAAUUUAGUGGAAGAGCUAUGUUGAAUUGAGUAGGGUCAUUAAAUACUGGAAUGAGGAAUUGCAGCGUUUGAACUUGUCCAGACAGUGAUCCUAAAGUAGCCUGUCUUCCAGCUUUUUGCUUUUCCUUUGAUGGCUACCAGGAUUCUCUUAUAAAGGAGGAAAGUGAGAAGAGCAGAUCUCUGUGGUUAAAUAGUUACCUGCUUUUUUUUCCAAUCAAGAAAAACCAUGAUGAAAAUGUACUAUAUGCAGUGUGAUAGCUUAGAUUGGAUCCUGGAGCAGAAAA
rnacentral:lncRNA from 10 species